UACGGGGGGGAGCAAGCGUUGUUCGGAUUUACUGGGCGUAAAGGGCGCGUAGGCGGCCAGCGCAAGUCAGUUGUGAAAUCUCCGGGCUUAACUCGGAACGGUCAACUGAUACUGCGCGGCUAGAGUGCAGAAGGGGCAACUGGAAUUCUCGGUGUAGCGGUGAAAUGCGUAGAUAUCGAGAGGAACACCUGCGGCGAAGGCGGGUUGCUGGGCUGACACUGACGCUGAUGCGCGAAGCCAGGGGAGCGAACGGG
rnacentral:rRNA from 1 species